GGUGCUGUUUCCAGUCCUUGCUCGUCCCCGACGUGUUUCAGGACUGCCUAGCAUGAAACAUUUGAGAUUCUCAGACGAGAGAAAAGUCAGGUCAAGGGUAUAGACCCUGCGGCAUUAUCACGGAGUCAGUGGCCAAAGGCCCCGUCCAGGUCAAGAAGUGAGCGGGCAGUGGUACCCACAGCCCCCCUCCCCCCCAUGGAAGGGCACGAUUCAGGCUGGCAUUUGGCCCCCACACACUGAUGAGACUGAGGUUCAGAGGGCCAGACGUUUGUCAGGAUCAUUCAGAUCCGACACGAGAACCUGUCGCCACUCCUACCCCCCAAACGUCGCCCCCCCCCCCGUAUGUCCUGGGCCCCACCUGAAUCCCCAGUCCCCCCCUUUCUGUCCUGAUCCUUGACCGCCAGCGUCCAUGAAUAGAAACCUGCCUGUGUUUUUUUUAAAUUGUUUUUAUUACAGUUAAUGGACAAUGUCCUGUCAAUUUCUGCGAUGCCGCAGAGUGACCCAGUCAUACGUAGACAAAUACGUCUGUGCAUAUUCUUUCUCUCACAUUCGCCUCCAUCGUGUUCCAUCACAAGCGAGUAGACAGAGUUCCCUGUGCUGCCCAGCAGGGAAACCUGCCCUUAGGAAUCCUGAGUUCUGGGCAUUUUGCCCCCUAAGGUCGCUGAAUCAAGGUUAGAUCACGCCAGUUAAUUUCCAGGCUCCAGCGAGAUCUUCAGCCGAACAGAAAAAAACUAAGGGAGAUGUGAGAUGUUUGGAGCAAGAAACUUUUAUUAGGUGAAAAGCCCUCCCUUCUUGAACUUAGCUGUUGGCAUGCGUGGAUCAGAAUUAGAUGCUCUUUGCAAGUUAGCAAAAGCAACCCUAGUCCCCUCCGCUAAAUGCCAUCAAAGGAUGUCCAGGGGGCCGGUUGGGGUGACCGCCUCUUUUGGCGGCGGUGACCCACGUGUUGCCCAGACCUGGGAACUGGAUGAGGGCGAGCACCUUUGAGAGUAGGGAUCCCACGAAAACCUACCCUCCGUGCAGCUUUUGCAGAGUAAAAUAAUAGAGCAGUUGCUGGUGUUUCUAAAAAGAUUUCACUUUAUUAAUUUGUUUUUAUUACUGUUGAUUCACAAUGUUCUGUCAAGUAAGAGGAUUUAUUUUAAAUAGGAAAAAAAAAUCCAUAGGACCGUCAACUACAUACCAAUAAGGAAAACCAAGUCCUGAAUAUUCUGGCAUUUGAGAAGCUGGGGAGGGGUGCAGGCAGUUGUGUGCUGAGCCCCCCAGCAGAGGGGUCUGUGUGAAUUGCUCAGCCUCGGGUGUGGAGGGGCCGGUUUUAACCUGUGUCCUUGUUUCUGUGGCACACGGGACCCCUGGGCCCCACUCUCCAAGCCCAGAGGUCCUGCCAGGCUUCCUGCCUUGGUCUUCCGACUCCCAGGGCCCACGGGUUCCAGAAUCCAUCAUGAAAUCAGUCCUGGAGGCUCAGGAGUGAGGCCAGGAGACACCCCCCCUUUCUUCUGAUUUUCCGUUUUGUUUUUUGUUUUUUUCUGCUGUUACUGCUCUCCCUCUGUUCUCCACCCUGGCUUCUCUCCCUUACUCUAUCACCAUGUCCUAGUCUGGUCCCCUGGGGGUGCCCGAGUCCAGCCCACUCCUCCUUGGGGUGUCCCAGCACCAGCCUGGCACCAAGUGGGGUUCAGUAAGAGUAUGUGGGAUGUCUGCUUGGACAGGUGAGUCAAUGAAGGAACUCGACUGCCCGACUCAGCUGCUAGACGGGAGUUGUGGGGACGGCAGGGAGUUGCAGGUCCGGGGGGAGGGUGGAUGUACUUUCCCUGAGAGGAGUGGGCGCCGCCCACCCCCAGCCCCGUUUGAGUGGGGCCUCACCAGUGUCACCCCUUCAUUCACUCACGCGUCCACCCCGUCAUUCAACAGUUGAUCCUUACUGAGCAAGCCCACCGCCUGGCCCCGGGCUGGGCACCUGCCACGCUAGGGCGUCCCUUGAUGGCCUCUACCUCCCCAGGAGGGCGGGCCGGGGGGCUGCUUCUGCUGAGGGUGGCCUUGCGACUCCAGGGCGCUGGAGCAGCAGCUCCUGCUCCGGAGAGAAGGCAGCGGGAGGAGGGUGCGAGGGGUGGGCUGGUUUGCCUCCGGCCAGUGGGCCUCCUUUUCAGUCAACUCCCCCCUGCUCCAGGGGGAGCCUUGAACCUGCCCUUCUCUAGGGCUCUGCUGCCGGCCCGAGCCAGCCCCUCCUGCCCGCUUGGCCUCCCCCUGCCCCCCAAGACCCACCCCAUGGCUGAGUGCUGAUGACUCUUCUGGACCCUCAGCCCUGAAGUUCAGGACUGAGGUGGGGGCACAGGGACAGCUGUGGUUCAUGCGUGUCCCCUCGGGCUCUGGUCCCACAGGUCUCCUUCUGGAGUUGGGGUCUGUGAGCUGGACCCCUCCCUCCGUGACGCCUUCCUCCCUCCUCUGCGCCCCCAGUCGUUGGCUGGGGCCUGUCCAGGGCAAAGGGCAGAUGACUGGGGGACCUCCAGGGAGCGUUGCAGGCUCUGCCAAGGCCUGGCUGCCCACCUGUUCUCUACCUGGCGGUUCCUUCCCUGCCUCCCUCCCCCCAGCCAGGGUGCCUGCCCACCUGGAGCUCUGCUUGCCCGGCCCGCCCCUCUGUGCCCCCUGUCACUGGGCUCAGGAUCUUCUGGGUCCUGGCUGUGCCGCCCUCUGCCUAACAGGUUGUUUUUCCCGCUGCCUCGCCCACCUCCCACCUGCGUGCCUUUUGCCCUCCCCGUCCCCCGGUGCAAGGAAGCCCUCCCCGCUCAGGGCCGCCCAAGUUUCCAGCGGGUCUCCGGUGCCCCGGGAUAAGCCCGAGCUGGCCCGCCACCUCCCCCGGUCAUCCUCAGAUGCCUCUUCUCCCGGCCGUGGCCCCUCAGGGUCUUAGUGACGGUGGGCUACAACCAGAUUUUUGUCCUGCUCCCCUCCCCACACCCCCUAGACCCCUCGUCAUCGGGUCCUGCUGGGCCUGCCCAGAUGGCUGCCCUGUCCCCCUGAGUCCCAGGCCCUGCCCCACCCCAGGCCCCGUGGCCAGUCUGGGGGCUGCCACCCGGCCUGUCGCCUCUCUUCUUGCACCUCUUCCCAUCACGGCAUCCCCACGAGCCACCUCCCUCCACAGAAAUCCAAGCCGCAGGUCGGCCUGUCCUCGACACACUGGCAGCGAGCGUCGGCUGAAGAACCGGAUGGAAGAGGCGGGAGAGUCACCACGGACUGGCGUUCCUUCAGGUCGGUCGCCUGGCGUCUUCGGGCUGCGACUCCUUCCCGGAUCGGGCUGAAGCCAUCAUCUGUGUCCUCCGUCGGAAGGGACCUCAGACAUGUGGCUCCUGCACCCUCCAGCUCUGAAAUCGCUGUGUGGCGCCAUGGGCUGUGGUGAUGAAAGGAACGCCCUGACUUGUGGCUUCUUCCUCCGGGGUCACUGCUCUGAGCACGUCCCAGCUGGAUGUCAUCUGCCACCGUCACCCACACGGCUUCCUUCCCCAUGGCGCUGCUCCAUGCAUCACACACUGCGAUGGAGCCGGGGCCAGGGCCCGAGAGCGGCCCCCUUCCUCGCCCCUCCGCCCGGGAGCGGAGGUGUCCCCCCAGGCCCCACCCUGCCUGGUGCAUGGUCCCUGCCAUGAGCUUUGCCCUCAGCCAUUCAGCUUCCUCCACCAGAUGGCAUUGGUUGUGACCCAUCCAUUCAUUCCUUCAUCCCUUCAUUCAUUCACUCACGGUCCUCCAACGUGAAGGAAAGCCCGCCGGUGCUCUACUAGAGGGGGCUCGCCAGGACGGCCUGUGGCCUCUCCUUCUGAAAGAGGAGAUGAGUGCUUCGCAAGGGGCUGUGUUUGCGUGUCAGGAACGAGGCGGGACCCUUGCUUCGGCUCCAGGUCUUCGACCCGAGUCGUGUUGCACCUUCUCCGUCCUGGUCCUUUUUCCCAAACGAGGCUGAUGAGCCAUCAGCAAACUGGGUUCCCUGGCUGCUUGGAAGUCAUAGCCCAGAGCCUCAAGAGGCCACUGGGUGGCGGGGCGGGCGGGGGGGGGGUCUGAAACAAAUGGCUGAUUCUGGCCGUGAGCAGGUUUUCAAGUCAUUAAAACACUCUGCUCCAG
rnacentral:lncRNA from 1 species